rnacentral:lncRNA from 1 species
CAUGAGAUUCAUGUUGAUUUUUGUUGUUGUUGUUGUUGUUCAUCCACAUUCUUUGUUGCUAUUUUUGUUUAACACUCCUCCCUGACUGAAUAUUUUUAUGUUGUAUCCAGCCCGAGAUUCAUGUUGAUUUUUGUUUUUGUUGUCUACAUCUUCAUAUGAGACUUGAGCUUUUUUCAUGUAUUUGUUAUGGUUAUACAUGAAACUAUUUCGCAUAUAACAUAUGAAAGAUGCAGGUUAUGGUUAUGAUUUUUCUACAACUUCAUAUGAGACUUGAGCUUUUUUCAUGUAUUUGUUAUGGUUAUGAGUUAUAUAAUACAUGAAACCAUCUCGCAUAUAACGUAUGAAAGGUGUAGGUUAUGGUUAUGGUUUUUGGCUAUGAGUUGUUUUUCUCUUCUUUUUCACAUCUUCAUAAUAAAGAUGCAAUCAAGGUUAUGGGUUGUUGAUUUCAUGGUUUCUUCUUUUUUUCUUCGUCUUCAUCAUCUUCUUCCAUCUUCACAGAUCU